rnacentral:misc_RNA from 1 species
GUCUUAAAUGAAAUGCAGACACUGUUAUCCAUCCAAUUUCUCGUCUUCCUCGUAACAGAGAAGAAACUAUGGCAAUGGCUACAGCCGCAGCAUCUGGAUUCUUGUUAGGAAACACUUGUUCCAACAUUUGUUUCCGCAAGUCACAAUUCCGAAAGUUGUCCCCUUCAAAGACCAGUGCGGUUUCGGAGCUAGGGUUUGUUACUUCUCAAUUGAGUGGCGUUAGAAUUUCCUACAACCUAACUCAGGAACCAAAGCUCGUCUCCUCUCCUUCCAUUCCUGCUUUUCAACCUGUUGUUGCCCGUAGAGUGUGUCCCUUUACUGGGAAGAAAGCAAACAAGGCAAACAAAGUUUCCUUUUCAAACCACAAGACAAAGAAGUUGCAGUUUGUGAACCUGCAGUAUAAGAAGAUUUGGUGGGAAGCUGGUAAGCGGUAUGUCAAACUGAGGUUGUCCACUAAGGCAUUGAAGACUAUAGAGAAGAAUGGACUGGAUGCCGUUGCUAAGAAGGCUGGCAUAGAUCUUAGCAAGGAGUAAAAAAUUUGUGCCAAUUAUUCCUUGGAAUUCUAUUUCUUUGAGUUCUUCCAUUGGUCUGUGGAAUUUUUUACUGUAAUAUUCCCUUGGAUCAACGUGCAAGUUUUGUGAAUUCACUUUUCUCAUAUGAUAUCAUGGAGCUUUUGAUCUAUGGUCUUACUAACUCAAAGUUGACAUGAACAAUUGAAAUUUUAUAGCCUGCCAGGUGUUCCUUGCGCUCAAUUUAUGGUUUUGC